rnacentral:rRNA from 1 species
UUGAACGCUGGCGGCAUGCCUUACACAUGCAAGUCGAACGGCAGCACGGGUGCUUGCACCUGGUGGCGAGUGGCGAACGGGUGAGUAAUACAUCGGAACAUGUCCUGUAGUGGGGGAUAGCCCGGCGAAAGCCGGAUUAAUACCGCAUACGACCUACGGAUGAAAGCGGGGGACCUUCGGGCCUCGCGCUAUAGGGUUGGCCGAUGGCUGAUUAGCUAGUUGGUGGGGUAAAGGCCUACCAAGGCGACGAUCAGUAGAUGGUCUGAGAGGACGACCAGCCACACUGGGACUGAGACACGGCCCAGACUCCUACGGGAGGCAGCAGUGGGGAAUUUUGGACAAUGGGCGAAAGCCUGAUCCAGCAAUGCCGCGUGUGUGAAGAAGGCCUUCGGGUUGUAAAGCACUUUUGUCCGGAAAGAAAUCCUUGGCUCUAAUACAGUCGGGGGAUGACGGUACCGGAAGAAUAAGCACCGGCUAACUACGUG